AUCUAGCUGAAUGUACUGGAAGAAUAAGGAUCGGCUAACUCCGUGCCAGCAGCCGCGGUAAUACGGAGGAUCCGAGCGUAUCCGGAUUUAUGGGUUAAAGGGUGCGUAGGCGGCCUAUUAAGUCAGGGGUGAAAUACGGUGGCUCAACCAUCGCAGUGCCUUUGAUACUGAUGGGCUUGAAUCCAUUUGAAGUGGGCGGAAUAAGACAAGUAGCGGUGAAAUGCAUAGAUAUGUCUUAGAACUCCGAUUGCGAAGGCAGCUCACUAAGCUGGUAUUGACGCUGAUGCACGAAAGCGUGGGGAUCGAACAGGAUUAGAUACCCUGGUAGUCCACGCCCUAAACGAUGAUAACUCGAUGUUGGCGAUAGACAGCCAGCGUCCAAGCGAAAGCGUUAAGUUAUCCACCUGGGGAGUACGCCCGCAAGGGUGAAACUCAAAGGAAUUGACGGGGGCCCGCACAAGCGGAGGAGCAUGUGGUUUAAUUCGAUGAUACGCGAGGAACCUUACCCGGGCUUGAAAGUUAGUGAAGAGUGCAGAGACGCACUCGUCCUUCGGGACACGAAACUAGGUGCUGCAUGGCUGUCGUCAGCUCGUGCCGUGAGGUGUUGGGUUAAGUCCCGCAACGAGCGCAACCCCUAUGUUUAGUUGCCAGCAUGUAAUGGUGGGGACUCUAAACAGACUGCCUGUGCAAACAGAGAGGAAGGUGGGGACGACGUCAAGUCAUCAUGGCCCUUACGUCCGGGGCUACACACGUGCUACAAUGGAUGGUACAGCGGGCAGCUACAUAGCAAUAUGAUGCUAAUCUCUAAAAGCCAUUCACAGUUCGGAUUGGGGUCUGCAACUCGACCCCAUGAAGUUGGAUUCGCUAGUAAUCGCGUAUCAGCAAUGACGCGGUGAAUACGUUCCCGGGCCUUGUACACACCGCCCGUCAAGCCAUGAAAGUUGGGGGUACCUAAAGCAUGUACCGCAAGGAGCGUUUACGUAUCGUUUUAU
rnacentral:rRNA from 1 species